rnacentral:rRNA from 1 species
GAGGAACGCGGGCGGCGUGCCUAAUACAUGCAAGUCGAGCGAACAGACGAGGAGCUUGCUCCUCUGACGUUAGCGGCGGACGGGUGAGUAACACGUGGAUAACCUACCUAUAAGACUGGGAUAACUUCGGGAAACCGGAGCUAAUACCGGAUAAUAUAUUGAACCGCAUGGUUCAAUAGUGAAAGACGGUUUUGCUGUCACUUAUAGAUGGAUCCGCGCCGCAUUAGCUAGUUGGUAAGGUAACGGCUUACCAAGGCGACGAUGCGUAGCCGACCUGAGAGGGUGAUCGGCCACACUGGAACUGAGACACGGUCCAGACUCCUACGGGAGGCAGCAGUAGGGAAUCUUCCGCAAUGGGCGAAAGCCUGACGGAGCAACGCCGCGUGAGUGAUGAAGGUCUUCGGAUCGUAAAACUCUGUUAUUAGGGAAGAACAAAUGUGUAAGUAACUAUGCACGUCUUGACGGUACCUAAUCAGAAAGCCACGGCUAACUACGUG